rnacentral:rRNA from 1 species
UACGGGGGGGGCAAGCGUUGGUUCGGAAUUACUGGGCGUAAAGGGUUCGUAGGUGGCUUGUUAAGUCAGACGUGAAAUCCCUCGGCUCAACCGGGGAACUGCGGUCUGAGACUGAUGAGCUCGAGUGCAGGAGAGGAACGCGGAAUUCCAGGUGUAGCGGUGAAAUGCGUAGAUAUCUGGAGGAACACCGGUGGCGAAGGCGGCGUCGUGGACUGCAACUGACACUGAGGAACGAAAGCCAGGGGAGCAAACGGG